UACGGGGGGGGCAAGCGUUGUUCGGAAUUACUGGGCGUAAAGGGCUCGUAGGUGGCCAACUAAGUCAGACGUGAAAUCCCUCGGCUUAACCGGGGAACUGCGUCUGAUACUGGAUGGCUUGAGUUCGGGAGAGGGAUGCGGAAUUCCAGGUGUAGCGGUGAAAUGCGUAGAUAUCUGGAGGAACACCGGUGGCGAAGGCGGCAUCCUGGACCGAGACUGACACUGAGGAGCGAAAGCCAGGGGAGCAAACGGG
rnacentral:rRNA from 1 species